AAUCAAAAAAUAGCUCCACCUGCUCAAACCUCUGUCCGAUAAUAAGGUGGAAAUUCCAAUAGUGUAAACUGUACCACUCGGAGUUUAAUAUCUGGCCAAAUUUGGUAAUAUGUGUCCACGGGCGCUCUCCCAAGCACAAACUCGUCGAACUUAUAACCUUCAUGUGAUGGGCAAUUGGGAAAUAACGAUUAUGUUCUGUCUCAGUAGGAAACCCAGUUUCUGCGAUUCGGUUGUUCAAGUUGUAUAACGAUUUGAAACUUAUUGUAGGACUUUACACGGCUUUCGAACGAACGAUUGUAUUUGUUGAUUGUAGUUUUCAUUUCUGUACGCGGAGAAGAUGUUCACGUUAAUAUUUUAAUUUACCAAUGCAGGCUCAUCCAUCAGUCAAGAGUUGGGAAUAAUAAGUUCAACAACUACAAACAAAAUUGAAUGGAGCACAAACCAGGCUACGAUUCAUUCUGAUUUGGUCCAAACAAUGAGGAGUCUGUCGGUGCAGGUCAUGCUAUGGUGAGCGGUGUCGUAAAUGAUUUUGUAUCGUAGUGGAAACUUCAGUCAGAAAAGGCAGUCCAAACAGAUGAUUUUUAAUACUGCUCCAGUCGAGGUACCAGCAAUGCGAAUGUGCUGCACGAAAUUGGCAAAAUUUCUGCUGAACUGAGAGAUCUCAAGUCGAACAUAACCGGAAAACCCGUUGUUAAGAAGAUGGCUGAGCUGUUUCCUAUUUAGUCGGAUGCCAACUUGGUAAAGAUUGACUAAAACCUUGAAAACGAAAAAAAAAAAUCUGAGCUACGAUUGAAACUCUAACUCAAAUACUGGAAGCCGAAAAGCAGCAGGGUUAUAUCGACAGCUUUCAAGAAAUAGAUCGAUGUUUGGUUGGUGUCGACUUAAUAGCGCAGUGUGUAAGUCGUUAGCCUCACACUGAAUUAUUGUAUUGGAAGUUCGUGAGUUCGAAAUCGCUGACACAUUAAUAAAAAAAA